UUUUUCCGGAGAAGUUAAUGUUUUACAUACUCCUUUUUCUCCUCUCCCACAUCGUCAUUGUGUUUCUGACCACACCGGGAUCAAAGUGAUACAGAAAGAAAACAGAAAUUCCCAGUCUUCUUUGGGGGCCCCUCGACACAUGCAGAUGUUAAUACCUCUGCAGUCCGAGGGAGGUUGUAUCCUUCUACGUCUACGUCUACGUCUACGUUCUAGCUAGUGCAUCAGUGUGCCGAGUUCAUCAAAUCUGUGAGAGUCCAGAGGCAAGGAUUUCUUAGGGUGAUAUCCAGAGGUGCAUGGAUAUAUCGGUCCCAUAUUGAACCGGCAUUGAUACAGGGAAAAUUGAGAGAGCCAGAGAUAGCAGACAUACAAUUAGCAGAAGAAAAGAAGCUGAUUACUGGGUGAUGAAGGCCCAUCAAAAGGUCUGGGACUGAGGAGAGGAGAAACUUUUUGAUUUGAGGAUGAAGAACCUCCAGAGCUGCAAGACAUGGCACAGGGGUGUUGGGUGGAGAAAGGACACGUGUGGAGCUACGGGAGAAGGCAGAACUGUUGUGUGCUUCUGAUGUAGAGGAUAUCGACUGCACAACCCUCACCUGGUAACUUGUGAAUCUCAACACCUUGUCGAUGAACAAGAGCAUUUCAUCUUACAAGACUGUUCUACAUCUAUCUAAACUGCAGCAACUGGGAGGAUUUUUAAUAUGACCAGAGAGAGAAAGGAGAAAAAGCUGCUCCUUCCCAGCUGCUAGAACAAGGUAAAACUGGAC